UACGUAGGGUGCGAGCGUUAAUCGGAAUUACUGGGCGUAAAGCGUGCGCAGGCGGUUCGUUAAGUCAGCUGUGAAAGCCCCGGGCUCAACCUGGGAAUGGCGGUUGAAACUGGCGAACUAGAAUCUGGCAGAGGGGGGUGGAAUUCCACGUGUAGCAGUGAAAUGCGUAGAGAUGUGGAGGAACACCGAUGGCGAAGGCAGCCCGCUGGGCUGAGAUUGACGCUCAGGCACGAAAGCGUGGGGAGCAAACAGG
rnacentral:rRNA from 1 species